CGCGGGGUGGAGCAGCUCGGUAGCUCGCUGGGCUCAUAACCCAGAGGUCCAUGGUUCAAAUCCAUGCCCCGCUACGA
rnacentral:tRNA from 29 species